GGAAGGACCAUAGUUCAGUAUAGAGCAUCUGCUAUGCUCACAGAAGACUCCAGGUUCAAUCCCUGGUAUCUCCA